UGCCCAAUUCACAUGGAACUUUUUAUUCGCUUUACGUCAGACCUUGGUUUUGACAGAAUAGUUCGAUGUAUGCUUUUGUAUUAAGUAAAAUACACUAUAAUUAUGUGUUAUAAACAAUAAUUUUCAAUAAUUUUAACUAAUUGAAGCAAUGCAAAUGCACCCAUGCUUGUUCAAUAAGAGCUGCAAAAGCUUUAGAAACAAGAACGCCAAGGAGCGGUCAUGGCAGGCGGUGUCAAAUUAUAUGGUAGCCUCAGUGGAACAUUGCACACUGCAAAAACACGCGUCGUUGCGGGAUAGGUUCGUGCAGGAGGUGGCGGCACAAAAAUUGAGGUCGAGGGCAGCAGCCCAUAAUACAACGGAAUGGUGUUAUUUCCCACCAAUGCGGUUUUAAACGAAAUAUGUUGCCCCCAGAAAUGAACAUGGAGGGUACUCAAGUGAGUGAUUGUGGUGUAGGAGCUCGUAGAGGAGAGUGGGUUCCUUGAAAACCAGGGCAGCAGCAGCGCAUUUAGAGCCUCAAAAGGGCAGCGGGUGGAGGAAGAAUCUUACAACCGAUUCAAUAACUGUGGAACCCUGGAGAUAGCGUUGUCAAGAUCAGAACAAUUGACAGAAGCCAAAAGUAAAAUAUUUUUACAAAUUCUAGAUGAACUGUUACAAAAGAAACCAGAGGAUAGGUUGAAACAGAAAUGCUAGGUCCACAAUUCCUUACACUAUUUUUAA